rnacentral:misc_RNA from 1 species
AAAAAAUUACGCGAUAGAGCAAAUUAAGUCCUUCUAUUUACCUGAAAUAGCGAUAGUUUUACAAUAUUACGAUAUGUAGGAAUCACAAGAACGAUUCUCUAUCAUCUUCUUGUCGACCUUCACAGAAGCUCCUCAAAUGGCGUUAUGUCAAGGCUUAAAAUCUAAUUCCGUGUACCCAAUCUUCUCAUCUGUGAAGAUGCAAUUCUUUCCUCUGUUGCUUCAAGAACGGAAGUGAAGAAGAAGAAGAACAGGGAGAUAAUCCUUCUCCGCUCUGCUUUGCUAGUUGUCUUUCCAUCACGAGCUCUCUUCUUACUUCAGACUCCACCAUGCGUCUACGAGCAAUCUCUUCUGCAAUAAUCUUCUCUCUGACACGCUCCUUCUCAAUCUCUCUUACGAUUGCCUCACGCAUAUCAGCAGGUUGGUGUUGGCUAUGAUCAGGCGAUGCUAUGUAGCCAGCUCGAAUGGCUUGUUGAGUGAAGUAACCUUCAUCUGCAGCUUUAUACUUGUAAUGAUCCAUCAAAAUUCACAUAAAAAAAACUUCGAAUUUCACAUUUGCCGAAACAAAAAUCGAUAGUGAAAGAGAGAGCAAAUAUGUUA